rnacentral:rRNA from 1 species
UGAGCUUGAUCCUGGCUCAGGAUGAACGCUAGCGGCAGGCUUAACACAUGCAAGUCGAGGGGUAUUUAUCUUCGGAUAGAGAGACCGGCGCACGGGUGCGUAACGCGUAUGCAAUCUACCUUUCACAGAGGGAUAGCCCAGAGAAAUUUGGAUUAAUACCUCAUAGCAUUAUGAAAUGGCAUCAUUUUAUAAUUAAAGUCACAACGGUGAAAGAUGAGCAUGCGUCCCAUUAGCUAGUUGGUAAGGUAACGGCUUACCAAGGCUACGAUGGGUAGGGGUCCUGAGAGGGAGAUCCCCCACACUGGUACUGAGACACGGACCAGACUCCUACGGGAGGCAGCAGUGAGGAAUAUUGGACAAUGGGCGCAAGCCUGAUCCAGCCAUGCCGCGUGCAGGAUGACGGUCCUAUGGAUUGUAAACUGCUUUUGCACAGGAAGAAACAACAUUACGUGUAAUGUCUGACGG